CUUGGUUUGUGUCCCGAUUCCAAAAUGUCGAUGUUAGAUGGUCCGUUAAAUGUGCUCGGCCAGAGGACAACUGGUGAAUCAGUUCGCACUCAAAAUGGAUGUGACCAUCACCAACGAUGGAGCAACCAUCCUGAAGCUGCUGGAAGAGGAGCACCCAGCUGCUACGGUCUUGUGUGAACUGCAGGACAAGGAGGUCGGAGAUGGGACCUCAUCUGUGGUAAUUCUUGCUGCAGAAACGCUCGAGUGCAGAUGAGCUGGUGAAGAAGAAGAUUCACCCCACUUCAGUCAUCAGUGGAUAUCGUCUGGCUUGCAACUAAUAUGAACUGAAAUUAAUUUUCCGUCUUUUUUUUAUAAUCAACAUUGGUUAUUGCUUGGGGCUUCAGAUAUGUCCAUCAAUUUUUGAAAUACAAACUUCCCUUUUCAUCUUCCAGGGAAGCAGUUCGCUACAUUAAUGAGAAUCUCACUAUCGGAACAGAUGAUCUUGGCAGAGACCUCCAUGUCCCCCAACAUCAUUGGAAUGUAUCCCUGCAGUAUGCAGGCAGAGAGUCACAUUUUUUUUGAGGAAGCCCAUAUCUGCCUUACCCCUCUGAUUCAGACUUCUUUGCUAACAUGGUGGAUGCUACCCUCGCAGUGAAGUUUAGACUGCAAGCGAGUGGCCAAAUAUUCUAUUCAAUUCAAUUCAGUUUAUUUGUAUAGCCCAAUUUCACAAAUUAAAAAUUUGUCUCGGAGUGCUUUACAAUCUGUACACAUAGACAUCCCUGCCCCAAAACCUCACAUCGGACCAGGAAAAACUCCAAAAUAACCCUUCGGGGAAAAAAAGGGAAGAAACCUUCAGGAGAGCAACAGAGGAGGAUCCCUCUCCAGGAUGGACAGAUGCAAUAGAUGUAAUGUGUAUCCCAUCAACUGUCAAGUUUUCUAUCACGCACUGCUUAACGUGACACAUCGCAACAUGUGAAAAGUUAAAAAGCACAAAAUCAUGGCCUACUGUUAAUAUCAGAAAAUAUUCAUCGAAGGAAAGUUAGGAAUAUGAAUGAAGGAUAUGUAUUUUUAUUGUACAUGUUUCCCUGGUGAAGAUUGACUGACUUUUUUACAUUUUAUUUGUAAAGAUGUACAUUUUAGGAAACUUAUUGUAUGCAAUAGGUAUGGUUUAAUGUUUAGUUAAGUACUAUAUAUAUUUUUUUAACUGCCUGGUUUUCAUUGCUCAACAAAACAAUGUAUUAGAGGUAAUAAACUGAUUACACUAA